rnacentral:lncRNA from 1 species
GGCUGGCUUUAUGGAGGAGGUAAUCCUUAAAACGGGUCUUAAAAGGAGACAUUGUAAAAAGGUAAAUCAGAUCUAGAUGAGUAAUAGUAAGUGCUCUAAGAGUUUAGCAGGAGAGAUCAGUAGUUACUCAAGAGAUUAGAGAAUAUUUUGGGGAAGACAUGGGACAUGAACUUGCCUUUGAGCAUUGGAUGAUACUUGAGUUAGUACAGGAAAAUCAUUCCACGUUGAAAAGCCAUAUGAACAGAAAUACUGAAAUAAGUCAUGUGAGUUAAAUCAUA